ACUGAGGGGGGCUGCUCCUAGUACGAGAGGACCGGAGUGGACGCAUCACUGGUGUUCGGGUUGUCAUGCCAAUGGCACUGCCCGGUAGCUAAAUGCGGAAGAGAUAAGUGCUGAAAGCAUCUAAGCACGAAACUUGCCCCGAGAUGAGUUCUCCCUGACCCUUUAAGGUCCUGAAGGAACGUUGAAGACGACGACGUUGAUAGGCCGGGUGUGUAAGCGCAGCGAUGCGUUGAGCUAACCGGUACUAAUGAACCGUGAGGCUUAACCUU
rnacentral:rRNA from 1 species